rnacentral:rRNA from 1 species
UACAGAGGUCCCAAGCGUUGUUCGGAUUCACUGGGCGUAAAGGGUGCGCAGGUGGGUUUGCAAGUUUGAUGUGAAAGCCCCGGGCUUAACCCGGGAAUGGCAUUGAAUACUGCAGAUCUGGAGGAUUGGAGGGGGGACUGGAAUUCUUGGUGUAGCAGUGAAAUGCGUAGAUAAUCAAGAGGAACACCAGUGGCGAAGGCGAGUCCCUGGACAAUUCCUGACACUGAGGCACGAAAGCUAGGGGAGCAAACAGG